UUAAAAUGAACUUUGUCUAUUGUGCCACUGUUCAAACAAUCUAUGGAAAAUAAAAAGAAAUGGGGCAUGUAUUAAAAGUAACGAUUCAACAUUUCUUUUCCACUAUCAAUGAUAAAUUAGUUUAACGUUUGAAAAAAUUUCUACCGGACUGCAUCGCUGAAGGUAUGCGUAAUAACAUUUCCAGACAUCAACAGUUUCCAAUUAUUCCAGUUUGUCUUGACAACGGGGAAGCCGCCCUGAAUUCAAUGGUCCACAGCUGGGAGCCUUUUCAGUAUCCUGAAAUUUCAUUGUUUACCUAUGCUGGAUAGGACCGGACCGAAUGCCCUUGCCAGUGCCCCCAGGGACCGGAACACCCCCAUCACCACCCCUUUCUGAUUCGUGCCUCCAAAUCCUGAGAUCAGUGUGGUAAGACAUGGCACCACUGUGGCUGAUGC